GUUUUGGUCCCGCUAUUUGGGGGUUUGAAUCCUUCCGUCCCCG
rnacentral:tRNA from 1 species